GUAUAAUAAAUACAUCAGGGCUAGAUUGUGCCUCAAGGCAAAUGUUCUGUUGAUUUUACUGGCCUUCCUGUUACGUCUUGUGAUGUUUUGCUGUGCUCAUCCACUCGCCCCAUAAGACAUCCAUGUGAGCAGCUCUGUGGUUUUAUUUUCAUGUUUAAAACAAGUUGCUAUAAUCAGCUUUUCUGUAACUUAAACUGCAGUUGUUAUGAUCAUAUUAAAGUAUUACUUUUCAGGCUCAGCCAUGCUGUAAGUCUAUGAUUAGAGGCUUAAACUUCAGUGUGGAGCAAGUCUAUAAUGAAAGCAAAGUUCUCUUUCAUUUCCUGUGAUUCAACGUACUUGACAAUUGCCCAGUUUUGCUUCCCAUGCUGUUACAUUUGAGACUUGGCCUUUUGAGAACCAGUGGAGCACUGCUACCUUGCCAGCUCAUUGCUCCCGAUUGUGUAAGUGAUGGCAAACCACUCGCCUGGUGCUGGCUUGGAGGCAAAGAUACAUCAAGUGGCUGGCAUAUCUUUCUUCAGUCCAGAAUGAGGUAAUGCCUCCUAUUCACUAGGCAUUGAGGAGGAAAUGAAUCUCCUACAAGCAUAAUUGCAGAUGUAUCUGAUGGUGAGUUUCUGUCUACAUACAUGUAAGACUCGGAAAUGGCAUGUUUUCUUGUCUGAUGCAAGGAACCAUCAUGAAUAUUGUCCUGAGUAUCAAAAUCAAUCAGGUAUUUUACCUUGAGGCUCAGAAGAUUCUGGAGACUAAGGACUUAAGAGAUUCUUCAAAUGGUUUCUCCGGUGUGCUCUGGAGCUGUAGCGUAAGCCCUGAGUAUUGAAAGAUGGUGCUUAAGCCUUGCAUUAUUUCAAUCCAAGCUACAAACCCUAUGAAAAACUAACUCAGGAACAUGUGGAAGAAAGAUCACUGCUACUUUGUCCUAGGUAAGACCUAUGUAUUCUCAAACUAAGAAAUGUGUCACUCUAAGGUUGAAACUGUUUAAAUUAUAAUGUUCUUUAAAGUAUUUCCAAGUGUAUCUAAGACUGCUACAGACAGGUCUUGGUGAAAUGCCAUUGUCCCAACAACAUUAGAAAACGGAGAAGUCUCAAGAAUUUUGUCCCUGCUUUGUGUUAGAAAAAAUGAAGCAUUAGAAAAACUCUGGGAAACCGUAUAAGUUUUACCAUUGAUUUGAAUAAUAAGUCCUUGAAAUAAUCACUUUCAAAGAGAUAAGUACUUAGGCUUUUAAAGAAUUCUUACCCUGAGUAACUGGUUGCUACCAGAUGAAAUGAAACAUCACUUUGCCUCUUCUAACGUACAUCACUAAAAUUUUUGUUCCACUGGAAAUUCACAGCUGAAUUUGGAAUGAAAAAUCUUCAAAUUUUGGACUUUCCCACAGGGCAAGAAUACAGGAUACGGUUAAAUUUCUUUUCCUUUUAAUACUUGGUGUCAGUUAUUGAUUGACUCCAGGUACUCUGUUUAUUUCCUUUAGUACUCUCUUAAUUAUUUUGUGUGAUUUAUGUAUGUGCCAAGCAGGCAGUGGGUACUGGUGAGUAAUCCAAGUUCUGUCCCUGGCUGCGUGCAGGCAGGCUGAAGCCGGUGGCUUUUUAUUUGGACUACCAGAGAGGAGAGCUGGAUGUACACAGCAGUUGGACCUGAGGCUGAGGGACAUGGUUUAGUGGGUGACAUUGGCGGUAGAGCGAUGGUUGCACCAGAUGAUCUUGGAGGUCUUCUCCAACCCCAAUGAU
rnacentral:lncRNA from 1 species